rnacentral:rRNA from 1 species
UACAGAGGGGGCAAGCGUUAUUCGGAAUUAUUGGGCGUAAAGGGCGCGUAGGCGGCCAAGCAAGUCAGGGGUGAAAUCCCUCGGCUCAACCGAGGAACUGCCUCUGAAACUGCAUGGCUUGAGACCGGGAGAGGGUGGUGGAAUUCCCAGUGUAGCGGUGAAAUGCGUAGAUAUUGGGAGGAACACCGGUGGCGAAGGCGGCCACCUGGACCGGUUCUGACGCUGAGGCGCGAAAGUGUGGGGAGCAAAC